UAACUCUGGUACCACUUCAGUUUCGAAUAAAUCUUUCUCCUUUCACCAAAGAUUUCAGUUGAGUGGAACAUAUUGCGAUGAGUCUAAUCUGAAUCUGAAUAUUGAGUAGAACAAUAUU